AACGUAGGAGGCGAGCGUUAUCCGGAUUCACUGGGCGUAAAGCGCACGUAGGCGGUCGGGUAAGUCGGAUGUUAAAGCCCCUGGCUCAACUAGGGGAGGUCAUUCGAUACUGCUCGGCUUGAGGAUGAGAGAGGAAAGUGGAAUUCCCGGUGUAGCGGUGGAAUGCGUAGAGAUCGGGAGGAACACCAGUGGCGAAAGCGGCUUUCUGGCUCAUUCCUGACGCUGAGUGUGCGAAAGCGUGGGUAGCAAACGGG
rnacentral:rRNA from 1 species